GGAUGCUCCGGUUGGAUGCAUGUCCUUCCGGGAAAGAUUCCAUCGGUAUGGGAUGGGGUCGCGUCCUAUCAGCUUGAUGGCGGGGUAACGGCCCACCAUGGCUUCGACGGGUAGCCGGCCUGAGAGGGCGACCGGCCACAUUGGGACUGAGAUACGGCCCAGACUCCUACGGGAGGCAGCAGUGGGGAAUAUUGCACAAUGGGCGCAAGCCUGAUGCAGCGACGCCGCGUGCGGGAUGGAGGCCUUCGGGUUGUAAACCGCUUUUGAUCGGGAGCAAGCCCUUCGGGGUGAGUGUACCUUUCGAAUAAGCACCGGCUAACUACGUGCCAGCAGCCGCGGUAAUACGUAGGGUGCAAGCGUUAUCCGGAAUUAUUGGGCGUAAAGGGCUCGUAGGCGGUUCGUCGCGUCCGGUGUGAAAGCCCAUCGCUUAACGGUGGGUCUGCGCCGGGUACGG
rnacentral:rRNA from 1 species